AGGUAGUGGUGUAUUAAACCUCUUUUAUGAACCCGACUUUAUUUUCUUAUUUCCUGCCAGUGGUUAUCCUUCUUUCUUCUCCUAGCCCUCUCUGAAUUGGCCUCGUGUCUCGACAAAUCAAUAACUUGUGUGAUUUCACAUUGUGGUGAAUGUUAGGCAUAUUUGUAGUCGUCCAUGCGAAAAGGUUAUGGUUCCAGGUCAAUAGGUCUAUCAGGCUUAACGCAUCUUCCUUUCCCAACUCACUUCCCCAAAAGUUGUAGCAAUUAUCCUACUUUAGUCUUGCC
rnacentral:lncRNA from 1 species